rnacentral:sRNA from 1 species
GCAGGGUGUGGUGACACACACCUGUAAUCCCAGCAACUUGGAAGGCGGAGGCAGGAGGAUAGCGAGUUCAAAGCCAGCCUCAGCAACUUAGUGAGGACCUAAGUAACUCAGUGAGACCCUGUCUCUA